GUUUAGCCUUCGAAAACAGCCGAUAAAAUUAGAAUGAUACAAAGAAGAUUAGCGUGAUUCCUGCACAUGGAUGACAUGCAUAAAUUGAGAAAUGUAAAAGUAUUUU
rfam:Cucumis sativus cultivar 9930 chromosome 6, whole genome shotgun sequence.